rnacentral:rRNA from 1 species
CGGGGAGGGUCAUUGGAAACUGGGAGACUUGAGUGCAGAAGAGGAGAGUGGAAUUCCAUGUGUAGCGGUGAAAUGCGUAGAUAUAUGGAGGAACACCAGUGGCGAAGGCGGCUCUCUGGUCUGUAACUGACGCUGAGGCUCGAAAGCGUGGGGAGCGAACAGGAUUAGAUACCCUGGUAGUCCACGCCGUAAACGAUGAGUGCUAAGUGUUGGAGGGUUUCCGCCCUUCAGUGCUGCAGCAAACGCAUUAAGCACUCCGCCUGGGGAGUACGACCGCAAGGUUGAAACUCAAAGGAAUUGACGGGGGCCCGCACAAGCGGUGGAGCAUGUGGUUUAAUUCGAAGCAACGCGAAGAACCUUACCAGGUCUUGACAUCCUUUGACCACUCUAGAGAUAGAGCUUCCCCUUCGGGGGCAAAGUGACAGGUGGUGCAUGGUUGUCGUCAGCUCGUGUCGUGAGAUGUUGGGUUAAGUCCCGCAACGAGCGCAACCCUUAUUGUUAGUUGCCAUCAUUUAGUUGGGCACUCUAGCGAGACUGCCGGUGACAAACCGGAGGAAGGUGGGGAUGACGUCAAAUCAUCAUGCCCCUUAUGACCCUGGGCUACACACGUGCUACAAUGGGAAGUACAACGAGUUGCGAAGUCGC